ACUUCAUGAUGAUCCUUCCAGUUGGCGUUAACCAUUUUUAGUGACCCACCAAUCACAAACAAGCCUAUAUUUUCCG